UUACGGCCACAUCACGUUAAAACUCCAGCUUCCCGUACGAUCACUGAAGUUAAGCAACAUCUAGCCACGUCAGUACCGAGAUGAGUGACCGCUUGAAAACACCAGGUGUUGUAAG